rnacentral:rRNA from 1 species
AGUGAACGCUGGCGGUAGGCCUAACACAUGCAAGUCGAACGGCAGCACAGUAAGAGCUUGCUCUUACGGGUGGCGAGUGGCGGACGGGUGAGGAAUACAUCGGAAUCUACUUUUUCGUGGGGGAUAACGGAGGGAAAAAUACGCUAAAACCGCAUACGACCUAAGGGUGAAAGCAGGGGAUCUUCGGACCUUGCGCGAUUGAAUGAGCCGAUGUCGGAUUAGCUAGUUGGCGGGGUAAAGGCCCACCAAGGCGACGAUCCGUAGCUGGUCUGAGAGGAUGAUCAGCCACACUGGAACUGAGACACGGUCCAGACUCCUACGGGAGGCAGCAGUGGGGAAUUUUGGACAAUGGGCGCAAGCCUGAUCCAGCCAUGCCGCGUGGGUGAAGAAGGCCUUCGGGUUGUAAAGCCCUUUUGUUCGGGAAGAAAAGCAGCAGGUUAAUACCCCGCUGUUCUGACGGUACCCAAAGAAUAAGCACCGGCUAACUUCGUG